UACGGGGGGGGCAAGCGUUGUUCGGAAUUACUGGGCGUAAAGGGCUCGUAGGUGGCCAACUAAGUCAGACGUGAAAUCCCUCGGCUUAACCGGGGAACUGCGUCUGAUACUGGAUGGCUUGAGUUUGGGAGAGGGAUGCGGAAUUCCAGGUGUAGCGGUGAAAUGCGUAGAUAUCAGUUGGAACGCCAAUGGUGAAAACAGGUAGCUGGGAGUGUGCUGACGCUGAGACACGAAAGCCAGGGGAGCGAACGGG
rnacentral:rRNA from 1 species